rnacentral:rRNA from 1 species
UUCCGUCGUCCUCGGGACGUUAAGGCGCUCUGGUCGAGGAUAAACGACCCCUCUGACCGAGGUUAAAUGGUCGCUGCUGUGUUACCUCUUUCCCAAGGACACGUUUAAGAACGGUCCCCGGUGGGAGUCUUACCCCCGUUGGAACUUUUUUCCACCGGGAGCGCUGGGUCCCUUGGCACGUCCUUCCAUGAAAAACGGUGGCAAUUGGCAUUAAGUGGUGGGGUGGCCCAGUCCCCCCCUUUUUCCUGAAUCCUCCAGUUGGUGAACGCCUUGGACCCCGCCCUAAUCCGGGUGGCGGAUGCCCCUUUGAACGUCCUUGGAUUCCUUCCGGAAUCUUUCCUUGGCAAAGAACCCAAUUCGGAAUCCUCCGGCUUUGGAUCGGGGUCUCUCCAAAGCCUCCCGGCCAACGCCUGGUGGGUACUCCUAUGGCUGAACGUGGAAUCCUUUCUGGGUUUGAAAACGGGUUGAACGGGCGGUGGGCUCCCGUCCCCCAGUCCGCGUCCUUUGGCACCUCCGGACUACCACCCAUGAACUCCUCCGGGUAAGAACACCCGCUUGACUUAAGCAUAUUAAUCAACGGAAGAAAAGAAACUAACUAAGAAUCCCGUAAUAACUGCCAGUGAAGUGGGAUCAGCUCAAUGGGGGAUCUGAAUUGGGGUAAACCCGUGUCCGAAUUGGGCAAUAAUGACGGUUCGGUUGCCUAUGUAAAGGGCGUUGAAGUCCGUUUAAACAAGGGCACCUCCGAAGGUCCAAGCCUGGUACCACUGGCUGCACUUCCGCGCAAUGACCAGCGCCUCCUCCAAUCCCCGUAGUUUUGUAAUGCUGCCCCAGUGGGGAGGUAGAGGACUUUCUAAGGCUAAAUAUGAUGACGUGGACCGAUAGCCCAACAGGUACCGCCGAGGGAAGGUGGAAAAGCAACCAAUGAAAAUUGGUUGAAACAGUAAUUGAAAGCGCUACCGGAUAAGGCUAUCGGGUGCUGGGGCCUCUUGGGUGUGCCUUAAUGCUUACCUCCGAACGGCCCGCGCGGAUGAUGUUGGUGAUAGACCCGCGAUGAAUUCACUGUCUCGGCAAGUUGUUAGCCUUCGAGUGCUGAUCUCUGCACUGUGUGAAUGCAAGAUCUUGGUACCGUAC